UACGGGGGGAGCAAGCGUUGUUCGGAUUUACUGGGCGUAAAGGGCGCGUAGGCGGUCGUGACAAGUCACUUGUGAAAUCUCCGGGCUUAACUCGGAACGGUCAAGUGAUACUGUCGGACUAGAGUACAGAAGGGGCAACUGGAAUUCUCGGUGUAGCGGUGAAAUGCGUAGAUAUCGAGAGGAACACCUGCGGCGAAGGCGACUUCUUGGCCUGUUCUUGACGCUGAGGCGCGAAAGCUGGGGGAGCAAACGGG
rnacentral:rRNA from 1 species